GGAGCUGCUCUGCUCUCACAGUCCAUCUCUGGGCAGCAGCAGCUGCUGCUAGCGCGCCUCGCUCUUGCUUAUUUGACUGAAUGGUUUCCAGAGGAGUGGUGGUGGUUUGCUGGAGGAGAAUUUGACAUCUUUACCUGGAAGAGAUGGAAAGUGCUGCAUAUAUCAGCAGUAUCAUCCAAAGUGUCCUUACUUGACUAAGAUUUAAGGUAACUCAAAACUUCCCCUGCAUCCUAUAGGCUGAGCCCUGGUAGGCUGAAACAGAACAAGCUUGCUUCUUGCUGACUGAUGAAUUUAAAAUUAGUUCAGAGAGCUUACCCCCUCAGUCCAAUACUGCUGAUCCUCCCAACUUGUGAAGAAGGAAACAUCAAAUGCUGCUUUGCCUUCGUUGGACCUAGAGGGAAACCAGCAGCUCUGAAGAUGGGAGUUCAAACCAGAAAAACAGAGAAGACGAGAGUCCUGAAUUCCACUCCCAGUGAGAUAUAGCGACCAUCACUCAUGGAUUCAUAACCUCAAGGCAAGACUACUGUAGUGCCAACUGGCGAUGGUUUGGAGUAGAGGUUUUGUCCUGAGAGCGGGUGGAUUGCUGGAGACAGAGCCAGUACUCAAGUGCUUGAACUGACUUUAUGCUCAAUUCAAGAAAGAAAUAGGAUUCUACCAAGAGGCUGGUGCUGUACAAGUAAGUCAUGUGUCUGUGAACUGCAUAUUUCCAAACCCCAUCUUAGAGGCUGACUCAUACCAUAAAGAAAAUGGCAAAUCCAGGUUAUUUGGGGAAGGGGGUUGAUAAAGUGAGAAAUAUGAUUUGGAGGGAGCUGGGAGGUGAUGUCCAAGAAGUGGAAAGUGGUAAAUGAUUUGCAGCAAUGUCUUGGCUCCAGGCAUGGAGCUGGCUUUAUGUCUCCGAAUAAGGUCACAUCUAUUUUGUACGAUUAAAUUUAACCUGAUUGAAUAAUUA